AACUUUCGGCAAUGGAUCACUUGGUUCUGGCAUCGAUGAAGAACGCAGCGAAAUGCGCUAAGUAAUGUGAAUUGCAGAAUUCAGUGAAUCAUCGACUCUUUGAACGCACAUUGCGCCCCUUGGUAUUCCGAGGGGCAUGCCUGUUCGAGCGUCAUUACAACCCUCAAGCUCUGCUUGGCAUUGGACCCCGCGGCUUACCCCGCGGGCCUUAAAAUCAGUGGCGGCGUCCUCAGGCUCCGAACGUAGUAUAUAUCCCUCGUUACGGAGUCCUGGCGGCGGUAGCCAUCAACCCCCAACUUUCUAAGUUUGACCUCGGAUCAGGUAGGGAUACCCGCUGAACUUAAGCAUAUCAAUAAGCGGAGGCU
rnacentral:misc_RNA from 1 species